rnacentral:rRNA from 1 species
UACGUAGGGGGCAAGCGUUGUCCGGAUUUAUUGGGCGUAAAGCGCGCGUAGGCGGGGAGGAAAGUCUGCUGUGAAAGCCUGAGGCUCAACCUCAGCGGGUCGGUGGAUACUUCCUUUCUUGAAGGUGCUAGGGGGAGAUGGAAUUACCGGUGUAGCGGUGAAAUGCGUAGAUAUCAAGAGGAACACCUGCGGCGAAGGCGGGUUGCUGGGCUGACACUGACGCUGAGGCGCGAAAGCUAGGGGAGCGAACGGG